rnacentral:rRNA from 1 species
UGGGGAAUUUUGGACAAUGGGGGAAACCCUGAUCCUGCCAUCCCGCGUGUGCGAUGAAGGCCUUCGGGUUGUAAAGCACUUUUGGCAGGAAAGAAACGUCGCGGGUUAAUACCCCGCGAAACUGACGGUACCUGCAGAAUAAGCACCGGCUAACUACGUGCCAGCAGCCGCGGUAAUACGUAGGGUGCAAGCGUUAAUCGGAAUUACUGGGCGUAAAGCGUGCGCAGGCGGUUCGGAAAGAAAGAUGUGAAAUCCCAGAGCUUAACUUUGGAACUGCAUUUUUAACUACCGGGCUAGAGUGUGUCAGAGGGAGGUGGAAUUCCGCGUGUAGCAGUGAAAUGCGUAGAUAUGCGGAGGAACACCGAUGGCGAAGGCAGCCUCCUGGGAUAACACUGACGCUCAUGCACGAAAGCGUGGGGAGCAAACAGGAUUAGAUACCCUGGUAGUCCACGCCCUAAACGAUGUCAACUAGCUGUUGGGGCCUUCGGGCCUUGGUAGCGCAGCUAACGCGUGAAGUUGACCGCCUGGGGAGUACGGUCGCAAGAUUAAAACUCAAAUGAAUUGAC